GGAUCCGGCGGUGGUCGUUGACGCACGGACGUAACAAAGGGGACGGGAUCCGGCGGCGCAAAUCCUUUGGAAAAAUCAACACGGGCACUCACUCGGGCAGUGGAGCGUUGGAGACAAAGGGAGUCCGAGGAGCCACAGCGUUCCGAUGGGCAGUCGUUGACGCACAUACGAGAAAGAUGGGAUCCGACGGCGGCGGGUCCAGAUCUGUUCUGGGACAGGGGCGCCGAAGACUUAGGGUGCGUUUGGUUUCUUAGCAAAAGUCGUUUUUGCCUUGCUAGGCUAGGCUUGCCCUUUGGUAGUGCAAAUAUAUCCUAGAUUUUGGAGGCAGCUAGCCUUGCUCGGCUAGAAAAUCCUCGCUCGCGGGGAGAGCCGAUUCGGCUCGCCCUCGACGGCAAAGCCGGAACGCGCGAAAAAAUCUAGGCGGAACUCUCCGGGUGGAUAAGUCCGUCUGCAACAAAUCCCUAAAUCUACGUUCUCCACUCCGACCUCCUCCUCCACUUUCCCCUCCGAUUUUUGCUCAUCCCAAUGAAAUCCUCCGAAGCUGCAGAGAUAAAUCGAGCGAGUUGGCUCAAGUUGCUUUCCACGAUUAGCUGAAGGCGCAUCAGAUUUGACAGGGAAAGCUUACAUCCGCUUUGCUCAAGUCUGCGUCCUCCCCCAUCCGCCUUGCUCAGGUAACAACAUGGUGUGGCAGCCCCAAGUUGUAGAUGAAAUGCUACGUUACUACAAAGAGAAGAUUCAGUCUGAGGGAAAACAAUUUGUCUUCAAAGAGACACAUCAUGAGGAGUGUGCAAAACAAAUCAAUGCAAAGUUUACCACCGCCUUCACACAAAGGCAAGUUUAUCACAAGUUCCAUAAGCUGAAAGGUCAAUGAAAGAUCAUACUAGAGGCGAAGAACUUAAGUGGUGCCAAUUUUGAUGAUGUCAACAAGAUAAUAUUAUAUGAUGAAACUGAAGUUGUUCGGAUGAAGAACAACAAAGACAAAAGGGCAAAAUAUAUCAAUGUGCCUAUUGCCAACCAGGGGCGGAGCUAGAAAAUUUGGCCAUUGGGUUCACUCCAUGACUUGUUGUGAGAACUUGGUACUAAUAUGUGACGUGCAAAAUCUAAUUUUAAAUUAUCCUACAACAAAAUUAUUGCACCCAAAAAUAUAUAAUGAAUAAAAAAAUGGUGCAUUAAAAACUAAAAAGUGCAAGACAUACCGGUUCAAUAAAAUUAUAAAAUCACGUAUUUACAUACUAUAAAUAGAGUAGUAUGAAAUAACUUUGUAGCUCCAGCUAUAGCUUAUAUCUUCCUAGAACAUUGGAAA